UAGGGAAUCUUCGGCAAUGGACGAAAGUCUGACCGAGCAACGCCGCGUGAGUGAAGAAGGUUUUCGGAUCGUAAAACUCUGUUGUUAGAGAAGAACAAGGACGUUAGUAACUGAACGUCCCCUGACGGUAUCUAACCAGAAAGCCACGGCUAACUACGUGCCAGCAGCCGCGGUAAUACGUAGGUGGCAAGCGUUGUCCGGAUUUAUUGGGAGUAAAGCGAGCGCAGGCGGUUUCUUAAGUCUGAUGUGAAAGCCCCCGGCUCAACCGGGGAGGGUCAUUGGAAACUGGGAGACUUGAGUGCAGAAGAGGAGAGUGGAAUUCCAUGUGUAGCGGUGAAAUGCGUAGAUAUAUGGAGGAACACCAGUGGCGAAGGCGGCUCUCUGGUCUGUAACUGACGCUGAGGAUCGAAAGCGUGGGGAGCAAACAGG
rnacentral:rRNA from 1 species